rnacentral:rRNA from 1 species
UUCUGGCUCAGGAUGAACGCUGGCGGCGUGCUUAACACAUGCAAGUCGAGCGGAGAUAUGAAAUCGGAGAGCUUCGGCAGGAAGAUUUCAUAUUUAGCGGCGGACGGGUGAGUAACGUGUGGGCAACCUGCCCUGUACUGUGGAAUAAUCACUGGAAACGGUGACUAAUACCGCAUGUCAUUGCGAGAGGGCAUCCUCUUGCAAGAAAAGGAUUUAUUCGGUACAGGAUGGGCCCGCAUCUGAUUAGCUAGUUGGUGAGAUAACAGCCCACCAAGGCAACGAUCAGUAGCCGACCUGAGAGGGUGAUCGGCCACAUUGGGACUGAGACACGGCCCAAACUCCUACGGGAGGCAGCAGUGGGGAAUAUUGCACAAUGGGCGAAAGCCCUGAUGCAGCAACGCCGCGUGAAGGAAGAAGGGUUUCGGCUCGUAAACUUCUAUCAACAGGGACGAAAAAAUGACGGUACCUGAAUAAGAAGCCCCGGCUAACUACGUGCCAGCCGCCGC